CACGUAGGGGGCAAGCGUUGUCCGGAUUCAUUGGGCGUAAAGGGCUCGUAGGCGGCCAACUAAGUCGGAUGUGAAAUCCCCAGGCUUAACCUGGGAAUUGCAUCCGAUACUGGAUGGCUUGAAUCCGGGAGAGGGAUGCGGAAUUCCAGGUGUAGCGGUGAAAUGCGUAGAUAUCUGGAGGAACACCGGUGGCGAAGGCGGCAUCCUGGACCGGUAUUGACACUGAAAAGCGAAAGCCAGGGGAGCAAACGGG
rnacentral:rRNA from 1 species